rnacentral:lncRNA from 1 species
GGCUUUUUGUUUAUUUUCGGGAUUCGUGUAUUUUCUUUAAUUUUCGGUUUAAAAAGGAAAAAGGCCACAUUUUAGUGUUUUUUUUAAUUGCUAGGAUGGGAAAAACUUGUGUCGUUUGUGCCGCAUCAUGAUAAAAAGGUGAUUCAAGCCGAUCUUUUCACAAGAUUUCUGAUGCACUGGUUAAAAACACAGCAGCGGAUAAUUCAGUUAAUUACCAAGUGAUUUAUCCUUCAAAGCUGCAGGGGCAGCUUUCCUGAAGAGUGCAAAAACUUCUUUAGCUUCCAAAAUGGUAUAUAGUACAAACAGUGAAGCUAAUAUAGAUAAAUCUGAUCAUUCAUCAUCAACAAUAACUGCAUCUGAGAUUAAUAGUUCUACAGUAAUCGUGGGGUCUAGGUCAACAAUUACAAUUUCUCAUCAAAGCCGUUUUUGUUUAACUGGUACACAUUCCCUGACUCUGCCAAGGAAAAGGUAAAAAUACACUCAAAAUAGACUACUAGUUUUUUGCUAUGUAUUAUCCUAUUCUAUAUAUCUUAUUUGAGCACCAGGACUAAGACAGGCAAAAAAGUUUAUAACCACUUCUAGAAAAAGAGCUGAACAGAUCCUAGACAUGAACAGAUCAGACAUCAGAACAGCAGUCGGACUCCUAACCGGUCAUUGCCCAGUGAAAUAUCACCUAAAGGCAAUAGGUAUAACAGAGGACGACCAAUGUAGAUUCUGCAGCAAUGCCACAGAAACAGCAGAACACCUGCUCUGUGAAUGCCCGACCCAACUCUGCAAGAGGCUCAAGUACCUGGAAGGGGUACAACCAACACCUCAAGAAGUGGGACAACUACCUCCCAAAAAUAUAGCUUUGUACGGCAGAAGUCUAAGACUUUUUGAGACAAACUAAGACAAGUAGAGUUAUGCACAAAAU